CCUCGACUGCCCCAGAGCGCCUCUGACCGCCCGAGAGAGCCCCGAGCUCCAUCCCACAGUCACCGGAGCAGCUUUCCGCCGGCUCCUGCCGGUGCUCGGCCUUCGGGGGCAUCCUGCCAGCUCCCGAGGCGGCAGAGGGAUGGUGUUCAUGGGGAAAGGGCUCUCCAGCGGCCUCCCAGGGCACUGUGCAUGGCCUUGUGAAGCAGGUUUUUCCUGCAUCUGGGAAUUAGGACUCUGGGUGGUUAAUGGAAGGAAUCAGCAUAUGGGAGUCUUCUCAGCAGCUGGUUCCUGCUGUUCCCAGGAAAGGGCAUGAGUGGUGCCAGGCUGGCAGUGUCACCGACCCCCUCACCCGGGAUGAUCUGUCCUGUGUUUGCACUGGGGGUGUCAUCAGAGCCUGGUCAGGAGAGGUGGAACCAGCACUUGGCGUCACAAAAGGUAAAAACAUUUCCCCUGUAUUUUUUUGAGUUCAUUAGCUAAAGGUAAACUUCCUUUUUUUGAGAAAACGGAGUGGCAUGAGUUCACAGUGCAUGUGCUUGGGAGUCAUGGAAUGAGAGUAAAUAACUGUGUCCAGUUUUGGAGCAGGACAGGAAAAGGAUGUGCAUUUACAGGUCCUCCUCCAAAGCAGAACGUGGUUAUGAUUGAAAAACUUCCCCAGACUGGAAUGCCAGAACAAUUUGGGUUGAAAAAGAUCUCCCAGAUCAUUGAGUCCACCCAGCCCAGAGCACUGAGUGCCACGUCCAGGCAUUCCUUGGACAGCUCCAGGGAUGAGGAUUCCACCACUAAUUAGCAAUUUAAUUUCAUGGAAUCAUGGAAUCUGUGGAGUUGGAGGGGACCCACAAGGAUCAAUCCUCACUUUCCACCAGCUGAUCAUUCCAAGUUCCCUCAGCCUCUCCUCACAUGCCUUCUGCUCCAGACCCUUCAACAUCUUCAUAGCCCAAAAAUGUUCCUUGCAAAUCCAUGCUGGAUUUUUAAGGUUAAUGUGUUUGAAUUGGUCUUUUCCACGUGUUCGUGCCUCUCUUUGGCCUUGAAUGGAAGAGUUGCUGCAGGAUUUCACUGUAUGAAGCAAUCCCUCCCCCAGCAGUGUUUGGACAGUGUUUGUACCUGGAUGGAUGUGCUGGGCUGGGCAGACAGGCAGAGUGCAGGUGCAGGUUUUAGCAAGCCUGGAGCUCUGGGAACAGCAGCCAGGAUGAACUCAGCACCUGUCGUAAUCUCCUGGUUUGGUAAGUUCUGUAUAUAGUUAUUACCAGUGAUUUGGGACCAACCCCUCAGCAAGCCAAGCACGCCCCCUCACUUCAGGAGUUAGGAUUUAGCACUGAAGAUGAUUAACUAACACCAAAACCCUUCUCUUUAGCUCCUUCAUGAAAUACUUAAUCAGAGGAAUAUUCUUUAUGCAAAAGACACAUCUAUAUCUAUGUGUUUAUGUCUAUAGAAGUAUAAACAAAAGUGUCCAUGCCCAGAUUUUCCAGAUUUAG